rnacentral:lncRNA from 1 species
AACUCGAGUUCACUUGUGAAUCUUAUGAAAACUUCUUUCCAUUAUUCACACUUGCUUCGAUCAAAAAUUUUUUGAACUUAGUCUCGUGAAUUGCAUAGGACCUUUCUUUUUCUAUUAUGAUCGAUAUAUUCCAUCUAGGUGCAUCCUACUCAUAACAGUGAAUCUGAAUGUACUGAAGCCAACAUAUAUAGCAAGGAUCCAAAUGACUAGGGGACCAAAGAAACGUGCAGUCAAGCUCAGUAGCCUAACUGCGAAUAGCUGAUGCACCAUAGGUCAAAGGACUACUAAUACUACU